rnacentral:rRNA from 1 species
UCUGGUUGAUCCUGCCAGUAGUCAUAUGCUUGUCUCAAAGCUUAAGCCAUGCAAGUCUCAGUACAAACUGUAUUAAAGUGAAACCGCAAAAGGCUCAGUAAACCAGUCAUGAUUCACUCGAGUAUACAUGACUGUCUUUGGAUAACUGUGGUAAUCCUAGAGCUAAUACAUGCAAUCAAGUCCCGACCAGUCUGACUGGGAAGGACGCUUUUAUUAGAUCAAGACCAAUCGCCCGGCUCGUCCGGGCGUUGCCUUGGUGACUCUAGGUAACACAUCAGAUCGCACGGUCCUCGCACCGGCGACUUAUCCUUCAAAUGCCUGACUUAUCAACUGUCGAUGGUAGACUCCAUGUCUACCAUGGUUGUAACGGGUAACGGGGAAUCAGGGUUCGAUUCCGGAGAGGGAGCCUGAGAAACGGCUACCACAUCCAAGGAAGGCAGCAGGCACGCAAAUUACCCACUCCCGGCACGGGGAGGUAGUGACAAAAAAUAACGAUACGGGACUCUUAUGAGGCCCCGUAAUCGGAAUGAGUACACUUUAAAUCCUUUAACAAGGAUCCAUUGAAGGGCAAGUCUGGUGCCAGCAGCCGCGGUAAUUCCAGCUUCAAUAGCGUAUAUUAAAGUUGUUGCGGUUAAAAAGCUCGUAGUUGGUUCUGCGUGCCACGCUGUCGGUUCGCCGCCUGCCGGUGUAACUGGCAUGCCGUGGCAUGUCCUGUCGGUGGCGUUCGGGAGCCUCGUCUAGGUGACGGCCCUUGCCACAAGCUUGGUGUCCGGAGGCCGGGGGUAUACUCGUUCGCCUACUCUAUCCUACCUAGGUGCUCUUCACCGAGUGUCGAGGUAGGCCGACACGUUUACUUUGAACAAAUUAGAGUGCUCAAAGCAGGCUGAAAUCUCUGCCUGAAUAGUGGUGCAUGGAAUAAUAAAACAGGACCUUGGUUCUAUUUUGUUGGUUCUUAGGAACACAAGGUAAUGAUCAAUACGGACAGGCGGGGGCAUUCGUAUUGCGACGUUAGAGGUGAAAUUCUUGGAUCGUCGCAAGACGCACAAGAGCGAAAGCAUUUGCCAAGUAUGUCUUGAUUGAUCAAGAACGAAAGUUAGAGGUUCGAAGGCGAUCAGAUACCGCCCUAGUUCUAACCAUAAACGAUGCCAGCCAGCGAUCCGCCGAUGUUCCUCCGAUGACUCGGCGGGGAGCUUCUUCCCGGGAAACCAAAGCUUUUGGGUUCCGGGGGAAGUAUGGUUGCAAAGCUGAAACUUAAAGGAAUUGACGGAAGGGCACCACCAGGAGUGGAGCCUGCGGCUUAAUUUGACUCAACACGGGAAACCUCAC